GCAGUUUCUCCAGGUCCAAUGGUUCCGUUAGACUCAAGUGGGCUGUAGCACAGUGGACCCUCGGGACUCACAGCAGACCCUCAGCACUCAUGGUGGACCCUUGGGGCUCAUGGUGGACCCUCAGGUGCUCAGAUACUUUCCUCUUAGGAAAGGAGCUAUGCCUUGUGGUGACCAGGUCACAUAGGAAGGUGAGCCUAACCUGGAACCUGCCCCUUGACUACCUGACCCCUAGUACAGACGGGCAGCGAGUCAGCAGGUGAGGGGCAGCAGCCAAGCCCAAAGGGCCACUGACCACUGGCUGUCCUCUGGUGCAGAGAGGAAAACUGAGGCUUAGAGGGCCCAUGAGGCCAGGAAGUAGAGUCAGGUCCCACCGAGGGGCUUCUGCUGCCCCAAGACCCUGUGGAGGGCACCUGGAAGUGGAGGGACCUGCAGGUGCCCUGUAUCCCCCCAGGGGCUUGCCAUCUUCCAGCCCUCCCAACGCCCAGGAGGCUGAGCCUUGGCAAGAUGGCAGCUUUUGCUUAAAAUGCAUCAAACUGAGCAGAAAGAGUGGUGAACAGAGUAGAAUCUGCUUGUUUCCAAGGAUCAGCAAGAAGGCACAUGUGAAGCUCACCCAGGUUCUGUCUGUUUCUGCUCUCGUACAAAGACCCCAUAUGGAGCCAGUGACAACGAGGNNNNNNNNNNNNNNNNNNNNNNNNNCAAGGAUCAGCAAGAAGGCACAUGUGAAGCUCACCCAGGUUCUGUCUGUUUCUGCUCUCGUACAAAGACCCCAUAUGGAGCCAGUGACAACGAGGGCCAUGGGGAAGGCAGGAACCUGCCAGUUCAGGGAGGCCCAUCUUUCUAGAAGGUUAACAGGAACUUCCAGCCUCCAGCCUACUUAGUGACCGGCUGCUGGAGGACGGUGAGCGGCCCCUGCUGUCCACGUCUCCACGGGGGUCACCGAGCACACUCACAGGGUCCCCCUCUCCACCUGGAGCAGAGAAUUUGGAGGAGCCCGUCUUGCUGUCUUUUCUGAUGUUGUUAAACUAUGCUUGGGCCUGCCCGUUGCUCAGAGGAGCUUUCUACACAGCUGGACUUCUGAGGUGGGACCUGCCACGUGCUAACACCAGCACUCGGAACAGUCUCUGCCACUGGCAACAUCCUGUCCUGAACAUCUCCAAUGUGACCUCUCUCCUGAAAGGCCUGUGUGCGACUUAUCUGUGAAGCUGGAAGAAAGUUCUGGAACUUCCCCUUCUCCUUUGGUGCAAAGUUACACUAACUGUCAUGAUGUUGUUGAUUUCCAUUUUUUUUUGUUGUUCUUGUUGAGACGGAGUCUCACUCUGUUGCCUGGGUUGGAGUGCAGUGGCGCGAUCUCGGCUCACUACGGCCUCCGCCUCCUGGGUUCAAGUGAUUCUCCUGCUUCAGCCUCCCAAGUAGCUGGGAUUACAGGCACCUGCCACCACAGCUGGCUGAUUUUGUAUUUGUAGUAGAGACAGGGUUUCACUAUGUUGACCAGGCUGGUCUUAAAUUCCUGACCUCAGGUGAUCUGCCCACCUCAGCCUCCCAAAGUGCUGGGAUUACAGGCGUGAGCCACUGUGCCCGGCCUUGAUUUCCUUCUUAAGCAGAGUUGAGUCUCUGUCCACACCAGUGCUGCCUGGGCCUUCCUGAGCACCUGUGGCUGGCAUCCCUUCCCAUCUCUCCACCCUGUGGCAGGCAGCAGUCUUGCUGUUCCCCGGCACCUCUGCCAAGCUGCCUUCAGAGCUGCAUUCGGGAAGCCACUGCACAGCCACAAUGCAUGCUGAAUGCAUCCAUAUGCAGAAUUCACUCACAUGUCAUACAGUUAGUCAAAAAUGUCGAGGCCCUGCCAGCUGGAGAGAUGGGGGAGAAUACGGAUCCCUCCAUGAGUCCAAGCCGGCGGUACAAUCCCCUCAGGCCCCCUCCUCCUCCUGUGCUCCAGGUUUUCUAUUUCAAGGCUGCUGUUUACUUCCUUACUGUAUGUCAGCUCAGUCAUGGAUUUUAAACGAUGCAUAUAUAUAUAUAUUUUGCUUGUUUGUUCGUUUGUUUGUUUGAGAUGGAGUCUUGCUCUGUCACCCAGGCUGGAGUGCAGUGGUGUGAUCUCAGCUCACUGCAGCCUCUGCCUCCUGGGUUCAAGCAGUUCUCCUGCCUCAGCCUCCUGUGCUUU
rnacentral:lncRNA from 1 species